GGGGUGAUAGCUCAGUUGGGAGAGCGUACGACUGAAGUUACUCAGUCACAUAAUCGUAAGGUCGCCGGUUCAAUCCCGGCUCACCCCA
rfam:Aspergillus fumigatus Af293 chromosome 5, whole genome shotgun sequence.